AAGUUUCAAUUCCGCUGCGUUGCGUUGGGGUAGUAUUUCUUGCACGUGUUGUGUUUUAGUUAAGCUUUUUCCGAAGAUUGAUGGAUUGUUGUUAGUAUUCCUUAUCAGUUCGAAUCAAUUUGAAUAUGGAUUCUUUACUUAAAACUUAAUCAUGACGGUUGGUGUAUCGAAGCUAAAUUCUACUAAUGCAGAGUAUCUUGCAGAGUUAAUAAAGGAAAGAAAUAUUGAGAACAGUUUUUACAUAGAAGGACUCAUUGGGAUUCUCAUAUGCAGUCUGGUUUUGCUUGCAAUUAUUGCAGUUAUACUCUAUUACAUUAUACCAUGGCACAAGUGAAAAUUUAAUGCUGUGAUAAUGUGCUGUACAUUGGAAAUGUACUUCGUUAGGCACAUAUUACAAAAUCGUUUAUUUCAGUUAUUGAAUUAUGUAAAAUCAUUGUGAUAUUUUCCAGACCAAAGCCAGCAAUAUUAUGUAUUUUUCACUCCCUGUUUUGUUGAUACCUCCCGCCUCCGAAUUCACUAACAUAGGAUUUGGUUUGGAUUAACUAAUUAUUUUGUUUUAAGACGUAAAUAUUUGCUGUUGCAUAUAUUUUGUUCAUUUUUAUAUUCGUACUGAAUAUGAGUGUGUGAUGCAUGCAUUUUUGCAAAUGUUUAUUACGUACGAAAAAAGAUACCUACAAUUUUUUAUGCAAAUAAUAAAUAUUGUUUGAAAUGUU